GACGAACGCUGGCGGCGUGCUUAACACAUGCAAGUCGAACGGAAAGGCCCUGCUUUUGUGGGGUGCUCGAGUGGCGAACGGGUGAGUAACACGUGAGUAACCUGCCCUUGACUUUGGGAUAACUUCAGGAAACUGGGGCUAAUACCGGAUAGGAGCUCCUGCUGCAUGGUGGGGGUUGGAAAGUUUCGGCGGUUGGGGAUGGACUCGCGGCUUAUCAGCUUGUUGGUGGGGUAGUGGCUUACCAAGGCUUUGACGGGUAGCCGGCCUGAGAGGGUGACCGGCCACAUUGGGACUGAGAUACGGCCCAGACUCCUACGGGAGGCAGCAGUGGGGAAUAUUGCACAAUGGGCGGAAGCCUGAUGCAGCAACGCCGCGUGCGGGAUGACGGCCUUCGGGUUGUAAACCGCUUUCGCCUGUGACGAAGCGUGAGUGACGGUAAUGGGUAAAGAAGCGCCGGCUGACUACGUG
rnacentral:rRNA from 1 species